UGGGGAAUAUUGCACAAUGGGGGAAACCCUGAUGCAGCGACGCCGCGUGAACGAAGAAGGUAUUCGUAUCGUAAAGUUCUGUCCUAUGGGAAGAUAAUGACAGUACCAUAGAAGAAAGCUCCGGCUAAAUACGUGCCAGCAGCCGCGGUAAUACGUAUGGAGCGAGCGUUGUCCGGAAUUAUUGGGCGUAAAGGGUACGCAGGCGGUUUAAUAAGUCGAAUGUUAAAGAUCGGGGCUCAACCCCGUAAAGCAUUGGAAACUGAUAAACUUGAGUAGUGGGGAGGAAAGUGGAAUUCCUAGUGUAGUGGUGAAAUACGUAGAUAUUAGGAGGAAUACCAGUAGCGAAGGCGACUUUCGGGACACAAACUGACGCUGAGGUACGAAAGCGUGGGGAGCAAACAGG
rnacentral:rRNA from 1 species